UUACAUUUGCUUUAAAUUUCUUCCUCUUGUUUUAAUUUUUUAUUUUUGUCAGCAUAAUAUUUCUUCUCUUGUUGUUAUUUAUCUUUGAGUACCCCAACAACAUGAACAUGAGGAGGUGCAUAUCUUGCGAGGGCGGAUAUGAGGCCGGCACCUGCUGCAAGCAGUGCCACGAGGACCUCAAGGCCAAGGUCGCUUUUCUCACGAUGUCCCAGCCGGCUUUCUUUUCCGACGUCAUUCUGUUUGCCUCCUCCGACGAGAACCCUGUACCCAUUCCGGCCCAAAAGGCCGUUUUGGGGGAUCGUUCUCCAGUGUUGAGAGCCAUGCUUGAGAAUGAGAUGGAAGAAAGCCUGAGCGGCACCAUCAAGAUUGGCGAAGUGUCCAACCGCACCCUUGGUGCCUUUGUCAACUACCUCUACACUGCUGAGGUACGCCCCAGCAAUUGGCCUGUGAUCUCCUAGUAAUGGCUGACAAAUACCAGGUGCCGCAUCUCAAAGACUUGUGCCAGAAGUUCUUGGUGGCCAACCUCAACUGGGACAAUGCAUUUAUGAUAUAUACCUGUGCACACCAGCAUGAUGCCAAGCAGAUCAACGAUGCAGCCUUGGCGUUGAUCACAAACAACAUGGACAAGCUUUCUGCCCGGAAGGAGUAUGAGGAGCUCAAGGAGAGAGAUCCGCGACUCAUAUUCGAAAUAUAUGAAGCUUAUUUCUCCAAACAAGCUACUCUUCUUGGAAACCGCGCGCGGCUUGGUGUCAGGUAGCCGUGACACGUUGGUGAGAUUUGCGGGCGUGAUAAUUGGCUUUUGUCACCAUUAAUAGAGAAAAGUAGACAACAUUAUGUUGACUUUCCAGCUGCCUUUAGACUUAUA